ACCCGCUGAACUUAAGCAUAUCAAUAAGCGGAGGAAAAGAAACCAACAGGGAUUGCCUUAGUAACGGCGAGUGAAGCGGCAAUAGCUCAAAUUUGAAAGCUGGCCCCUUCGGGGUCCGCGUUGUAAUUUGUAGAGGAUGAUUCGGCGAGGGCUCCCGUCUAAGUCCCUUGGAACAGGGCGUCAUAGAGGGUGAGAAUCCCGUAUGUGAUGGGCUGCCUUAGCCAUGUGAAUCUCCUUCGACGAGUCGAGUUGUUUGGGAAUGCAGCUCUAAAUGGGAGGUAAAUUUCUUCUAAAGCUAAAUACCGGCCAGAGACCGAUAGCGCACAAGUAGAGUGAUCGAAAGAUGAAAAGCACUUUGGAAAGAGAGUUAAAAAGUACGUGAAAUUGUUGAAAGGGAAGCGCUUGCAGCCAGACUUGUCCGCAGUUGCUCAGCUUGUCUCCUGACAGGCGUACUCUUCUGCGGCCAGGCCAGCAUCAGUUCGGGCGGUCGGAUAAAGGCCCGGGGAAUGUAGCUCCUCUCGGGGAGUGUUAUAGCCCCGGGUGCAAUGCGGCCAGCCUGGACUGAGGAUCUCGCUUCGGCUAGGAUGCUGGCGUAAUGGCUGUAAGCGGCCCGUCUUGAAACACGGACCAAGGAGUCUAACAUCUAUGCGAGUGUUUGGGUGUCAAACCCAUGCGCGUAAUGAAAGUGAACGGAGGUGGGAACCCUCACGGGUGCACCAUCGACCGAUCCUGAUGUCUUCGGAUGGAUUUGAGUAAGAGCAUAGCUGUUGGGACCCGAAAGAUGGUGAACUAUGCCUGAAUAGGGUGAAGCCAGAGGAAACUCUGGUGGAGGCUCGCAGCGGUUCUGACGUGCAAAUCGAUCGUCAAAUUUGGGUAUAGGGGCGAAAGACUAAUCGAACCAUCUAGUAGCUGCUCCAAAGGGAGUCCU
rnacentral:rRNA from 1 species